UACAGAGGUCCCGAGCGUUGUUCGGAUUCACUGGGCGUAAAGGGUGCGUAGGUGGCCUAAAAAGUUUGAUGUGAAAGCUCAGGGCUUAACCCUGAAAUGGCAUUGAAUACUGUUGGGCUGGAGGUUUGGAGGGGGGACUGGAAUUCUUGGUGUAGCAGUGAAAUGCGUAGAUAUCAAGAGGAACACCAGUGGCGAAGGCGAGUCCCCUGGACAACACCUGACACUGAGGCACGAAAGCCGGGGGAGCAAACAGG
rnacentral:rRNA from 1 species